GCUAGACAGUGCUUGCUUUGGAUGACUGGGGUUUAGUCAUUGUUGGUGAACUUACAUGUUGUACCUUGUUGUAUAUGGUCAUCCCAUGUUGUACCUUGUACAAGGUCAUCUCGUGUUGUUCAUGAACGUAACAAGGUCAUCCCAUGUAUCCAGAUUUAACAGGUCAUCUCAUGUUGUACACGAAUGUAAUAAGGUCAUCCCAUGUUGUAUCCAGAUUUAACAAGGUCAUCUCAUGUUGUACCUUGUACAAGGUCAUCUCAUAUUGUUCAUGAACGUAACAAGGUCAUCCCAUGUUGUAUCCAGAUUUAACAAGGUCAUCUCAUGUUGUACCUUGUACAAGGUCAUCUCAUGUUGUUCAUGAACGUAAAAAGGUCAUCCCAUGUUGUA